rnacentral:rRNA from 1 species
AACGAACGCUGGCGGCAUGCCUAACACAUGCAAGUCGAACGAUACCUUCGGGUCUAGUGGCGCACGGGUGCGUAACGCGUGGGAACCUGCCCUUAGGUUCGGAAUAACUCCCCGAAAGGGGUGCUAAUACCGGAUAAUGUCUUCGGACCAAAGAUUUAUCGCCUUUGGAUGGGCCCGCGUUGGAUUAGCUAGUUGGUAGGGUAAAAGCCUACCAAGGCGACGAUCCAUAGCUGGUCUGAGAGGAUGAUCAGCCACACUGGGACUGAGACACGGCCCAGACUCCUACGGGAGGCAGCAGUGGGGAAUAUUGGACAAUGGGCGAAAGCCUGAUCCAGCAAUGCCGCGUGAGUGAUGAAGGCCUGAGGGUUGUAAAGCUCUUUUACCCGGGAUGAUAAUGACAGUACCGGGAGAAUAAGCUCCGGCUAACUCCGUG